GUGGGGGAUAUUGCACAAUGGGGGAAACCCUGAUGCAGCGACGCCGCGUGAAGGAAGACGUACUUCGGUAUGUAAACUUCUAUCAGCAGGGAAGAAGAUGACGGUACCUGACUAAGAAGCCCCGGCUAACUACGUGCCAGCAGCCGCGGUAAUACGUAGGGGGCAAGCGUUAUCCGGAUUUACUGGGUGUAAAGGGAGCGUAGACGGUGAAGCAAGUCUGAUGUGAAAACCCGGGGCUCAACUCCGGGAUUGCAUUGGAAACUGUUUUACUUGAGUGCUGGAGGGGCAAGCGGAAUUCCUGGUGUAGCGGUGAAAUGCGUAGAUAUCAGGAAGGACACCGGUGGCGAAGGCGGCUUGCUGGACAGUAACUGACGUUGAGGCUCGAAAGCGUGGGGAGCAAACAGGAUUAGAAACCCCAGUAGUCC
rnacentral:rRNA from 1 species